rnacentral:lncRNA from 1 species
CUUCUUGCCAACUGAUCUUCUUGCCUCCAAUUUGACCCCUCUGAUCCACCAAGUAUUGCAUACUACCGUGUUUUGAGACAUAGGAGGAGGAAAAAACCAUGGCUGCGGAGGUGAUUUAAUAUCCUGUUGACUCUGAAGAAAAAUACACUUCUUCAUUAUAAGAGUUUUAUUGCCAAUGACUAGAAGGAAAUGUAAAGGGGACAACACAAGAUGACUAACACAGGAAGUUAUAAAACUCACAGCUCUAACUGUCAUGGCCCUGGGCCCAUGGUGCCUGAAUCCCUCUGGGAGUAUUAAAUGGAAGGCCCCCUGGUACCUGAAUUUUGUUUUAGUUUUCUCUCUCCAUCUCUGUGAUUACACAUAAAAUCAGCCAAGCACCUGCUCCCCUCCAGCCUAGAUAACACAUACCUCCAUGCUAUAAAGGGACAAUUUGACCAAGAGACACCCACCUCACCUGACCACAGAGCUGGAAAAUCUACUAUGUCAGACUUCCAUGCAACCGCUGGUGGGAGAAAGUUUUCACGAGUCUCUCUGGGCCCUUAUCCCUCUCCCCUGUAUUCCCAUCCUUAUCCAAAUCCACAUUUCACCAAACUCCCUAACGCUAAGCAGCUGUUGAAGUUCAGAUCACAGUCUCUGAGGAGCUCCUGGUUUCCCAUGGAAUGUGAUUUGCCUCAUCAUCUUACAGCCUG